AAGCAUUUGAUGAAAAACUCAGUUUCCCCUUCAAGACAAUUUGGGUGAUGCAUUCCCAAGUUUCUGAUGCA